UACGGGGGGGGCAAGCGUUGUUCGGAAUUACUGGGCGUAAAGGGCUCGUAGGGGGCCAACUAAGUCAGACGUGAAAUCCCUCGGCUUAACCGGGGAACUGCGUCUGAUACUGGAUGGCUUGAGGUUGGGAGAGGGAUGCGGAAUUCCAGGUGUAGCGGUGAAAUGCGUAGAUAUCUGGAGGAACACCGGUGGCGAAGGCGGUUGCCUGGGGCUUUGCUGACGCUGAGGCGCGAAAGCGUGGGGAGCGAUCCGG
rnacentral:rRNA from 1 species